UUGACAACAACACAAAUCCGCCAAAAGGUUGUCCAGUCCCAUCUUCUUUCUUAUAUAUCACAAUUUAACGUUAUGGCUGGCAAUUUCUGGCAAAGUGCCCACUACCAGCAGUGGCUCCUGGACAGUCAGGAUCUGAUCCAGGAGCGCCGGGCAGACCUGGAGGUUCUCACCGAGGAGGAGUACCACAAGGUUAUGAUAUUCUUUGCCAACUUUAUUCAACAGCUCGGUGAAACCCUCAAGUUACGACAACAAGUUAUUGCCACAGCAACAACCUUCCUGAAGCGAUUCUAUGCAAGAAACUCCCUCAAAUGUAUUGAUCCUCUUCUCCUGGCCCCCACCAGUGUCUUCCUCUCUUCCAAGGUGGAGGAGUUUGGUGUUAUCUCCAACAGUAGAUUGAUCUCCACCUGCCAGACUGUAGUGAAGAACAAGUUUGCCUAUGCAUACUCCUCAGAAUUCCCAUACCGAACAAACCACAUCCUUGAGUGUGAGUUUUAUUUGCUGGAGAGUAUGGACUGUUGUCUCAUUGUCUACCAGCCAUACAGACCUUUGGUACAGUACAUGCAAGAUCUAGGUGGGGAGGGCGAGGUGUUACAGCUUGCUUGGCGGAUUGUCAAUGACUCCUUAAGAACUGAUGUGUGUCUCCUCUUUCCUCCCUAUGAAAUUGCUCUCUCAUGUAUCCAUAUGGCCUGUGUGGUCCACCAGAAGGACUGUAAACAGUGGUUUGCAGAACUAAAUACAGACUUGGAUCGCAUCAUGGAGAUUACCCGCUACAUCCUCAACUUGUAUGACCUCUGGAAAUCGUAUGAUGAACGCAAGGAAAUUCAGACCCUACUGCAGAGGAUGCCCAAACCCAACACCCAGCAGGUCCCUCGGUGAUUAGAACUAAACAUGUACAGUAAUCUCCCCGUUAGCCUGAAUCCCCGGUCCCCAGAACUCUCAGAUAACCGGGUUGGAUAUUGAGCCUUCCGGGAAAACUCUCUCCAUUCCGGGCAUGGGAACGAGUUUCCGAGGAUGGAAUCAUGCGUAUUUUGUGAGAAAAUCUCUCCAAACCUGUCCAUUCCAGGCAUGGGAACAAAUUUUGCUGCUUGGGUAACUUAGGCCAUAAGCUCAUGUACUUAGUUCAGAUUCUGCUGCCAUUGUACAAGGUUGAUCCCUCGCUCGCUGCUCUUUUAGUGUUGUGCAGUAUUGUACAUUACUGUACCAGGACACAAUCAGCCAAGAAUACAGUCUUAACACAGUGAUAAGAUGUAAAAAGUGAUUACAGUUACGUAUACUGUACUGUACAUUUGGCAGAGUGGACAGUGUAUGCUUACUGUAGGUUAGUGUGUAGAGGUGUAUGUAUAGUAUACAGGGUGUGUACAAUCUCUCCUUUAUGGAGGUAGAGGAGAGUGACAGUAACACCUGCUACAGUAGAUGGUACUGUACAGGACAAAGGAAGGCCAUCCUGUAUCAUAUUACCAUUUGGCCUGCCUGCAUCACACCACAAGCUCAAGACGACAGCAUCUACUGACAGGAUCACUUUAAGCCAAAUAAGAGUGGAAGUAGUCAAGAUAGAAAGCGUCAGUCACUGCUGUUUCUCCUCAGACAGUGAGGUAGCUGACCCACCAUCACGCACCUCAGCUGAUUCCUUCUUUGAUAAGGUACUAUUGGUAUUAAUGCAUAUUUUACCUUACCUUGUCCUCUCUCUUUUUUCUGUACAUUCUAUCAUCUCUUCUCUUACUCUGACGUCUCAUCAACUUUCUCCAGAAGAGAUUAAAUAUUCAAAUCCAAUUUCGGGUGUAUAAUGUGGUUGGAGGUUUAUACAUAGAAGACAUUAAAAAAAUUUCCUCUCUGUUAUCCGCUACUAUCCCAGGAGGGGCACGCAGGAAUACAUGCUUUUAAUCCAUGCUUCCUAGGAGUUGUGGAUAUCAAAACUCGAAUAAAUAGCUUUUUAGGCUCUGACCAAACUUGACACGUGGAUGUAUGAUGAAAAGAUCUCACUCGAGGUCAUUAAAUGGUAUUUCUGUGAUAUUUUUUUUCCCAGAGUUGCAGACGCUUAGACUUUUAGUCUCAUCAGGGAACUUGUCUAUCAUUAGAAGGGAUUCUUGUUCUACUUAAAUAUUUUCUACCUGUAUUCUAACUUCCCUUCAGUCUUCUCUCUCUUCCAUCCUCCCACCUGAGAUGUUUUAAAUCAGUUGUGGCAUAUAAUUUUUCCAGACAAAAGUUGGAAUUGUAUAGUCUUCAUACAUCUAACUUGGCAUAACAUAAACUAACCUGGCCUAAUCUCACCGAUCUUAGCCUAAUCCAACCCGACUCAACCUAAUGUAACCUAACCCAACCCCACCUGUAAUUACCACCUCAAAACUCCUUUAUUUAUUUAUUCAGUACCUGUGUUGUUUACUACCCCUCAUUAACACUAUCUAUAUGGUUUUCAUGAAGGACUUUGUUUUGAACACUUGUAUAUAAAUGUCAUAGUGUCGUAAUGGUUGAUACUUGCUUAGAAACAUUUUUUCCCAGGGAUGAUGUAUCACGAUCUGUGUUCUCUGCAACACAGCAAAUAUAUCAAGAGUUCUUUAGGUAAAUAUUUUAGGUACCGUAACAAAAUUUAUUUAUUGUGUGGUUUAUGAAAUUAUAAAAUUUUUGUGAGCUCCAGAAAUAGAUUGAGUAAAUUAAAAAAAAAUAUUAUAUACAAUAUACA